ensembl:lncRNA
AUGCAUGGUACUCCACACGUUUUUUUUUUUUUUUUUUCUUGUGAUAUCACAGUAAUCCUCAUUCCAGAUAGAUUGUGGAGGAAGCAGAUCAGAGGUGCUGCUGAAGCGGAAUCUCAGUGUAAAAUGAUACAUUCAACACCAGAAGAUUGGAUCCAGAGAGUGAUGAGUCCCUCUAGACGCUGCUUGGGCUCGCAUCCUGAUGGUUCCAGAGCAAAUAAGACACAGGAGAAUUUGUCCUCCCUCUCUUUUCCCCAUGCAUCAGAUCGACCCUGGUUUGUGCUCACACACCCUGUCUGGAAGUUCCCAGUCAUCUCAUGGCCUAAUAAACCGCCCACAGCUGUCUGGGGUCCCCUCCUGAGGCCGGGGACCCGAGUGCUAGAGGAUGAGGAUAGCUGGAUGAUGGAUGAGACAGAGUCUAAACAGACCCAGAUUAUGUAUCGAUUGCAAACACCAGACCUGGGGCCGGUUGCAUAAACUGUUUAGAUAAGUCUUGAAAAGUUAGCCAUCUAAUUAAUUUUUUUUUUUUCUUCAAGAUUGGCCAUAACUUUUUUAAUUCAGUUAUGAAAAGGUAGAUUGGUCUUAUUUGUAUUGGAAAAGUAAGACUAAUUACCCCUUGGCAACUGCUAGUUGGUCAAACUAGUUCUUAAGAAACAGUCUUAAAAUGGUGGCUAAGUUUAUGCAACUAGCCCCUGGUCUGAGAGGCAGAGAUCCUCAUAAUGGAGACUAUAUAGACAUACAUAUAGAAAGAUCAUGAACAGCAGCCUGUUUUAAAUACUAAUACUUUGUCUUACAAAUAUGUAGACAUUAAAUUUUAUAGUACAAUCUCACAAAGACACUUUUACAGUACAUUUAUCAAUCUCUAAGUAUAAUUUAGAAGUACAAAUACCCUGAAACUAUUAACUAUAAACAGUUCUUAUUAGCUGCUUGUGCUGCAGUGCAUUAUGGGUAUUUUUUUUAUUUCUCUCACUUUCUGGCAG